rnacentral:rRNA from 1 species
GGAGGCAGCAGUGAGGAAUUUUCCGCAAUGGACGAAAGUCUGACGGAGCGACGCCGUGUGCGUGAUGAAGUCUUUCGGGAUGUAAAACACUGUCGAGGGGGACGAUAUUGACGGUACCCCUGGAGGAAGCCCCGGCUAACUACGUGCCAGCAGCCGCGGUAAUACGUAGGGGGCGAGCGUUGUCCGGAAUUAUUGGGCGUAAAGGGCGUGUAGGCGGUUCUGUAAGUUGGAUGUUGAAGGUAUGGGCUCAACUCAUACAUCGCGUUCAAUACUGCAGUUCUCGAGAUUGGUAGAGGGAAACGGAACUUCCGGUGUAGCGGUGAAAUGCGUAGAUAUCGGAAGGAACACCAGUGGCGAAGGCGGUUUCCUGGGCCAAUUCUGACGCUGAGGCGCGAAAGCUAAGGGAGCAAACAGGAUUAGAUACCCUGGUAGUCUUAGCUGUAAACUAUGGUCACUAGAUGUUUGUGGUAUCGACCCCAUGAGUGCCGAAGUUAACAUGAUUAGUGACCCGCCUGGGGAGUACGGUUGCAAGACUAAAACUCAAAUGAAUUGACGG